UACGUAGGGGGCAAGCGUUGUCCGGAUUUAUUGGGCGUAAAGAGCGUGUAGGCGGCUUCACAGGUCUGCUGUGAAAACUCGAGGCUCAACCUCGAGCUGUCGGUGGAAACCGUGGGGCUAGAGUCCGGAAGAGGAGAGUGGAAUUCCCGGUGUAGCGGUGAAAUGCGCAGAUAUCGGGAAGAACACCCGUGGCGAAGGCGGCUCUCUGGGACGGUACUGACGCUGAGACGCGAAAGCGUGGGGAGCAAACAGGAUUAAGAAACCCCGGUGAGUCCC
rnacentral:rRNA from 1 species